CCGCUAUGAUGAUAGUAUUACCCCAAACCAUUCGUAGUUUCCACCAGAAGUCACGUGACUUGUGUUGGCAAAGAUCCUUCCUUGGAUGUCUGAGCGA
rnacentral:snoRNA from 1 species